UAGUUUUUGGAUAUUCUACGUUCCUGAAGAGAUUUUGGGGUAUCUCAUGUUUCUGAGGCAGUUUUGGGGCACUCCCCAACUGUUGGGAGGUUCCUGAGAGCAGCUCCAUGGAGCCCCACUGCCAGGGGUGGUUGCCAUGGGCACGAGGUCAGAGCUGUAGGCAGAGUCCGUUGCCUCAACGCUGGAAAGCAGAGAAAUGAUGAAUGGCCCCAGACAUCUCCAGUGUGUGUUUGGUGUUGAGAUGAAAAAUGAGCGAUGGGACCACUAUCCUUUGAGAUGCUCAAGUAGCUCAAUAAGAUAUCAGUCUCAAGGCGUGAGAUUUAUAGAGCAGCAACAAGUCAGCCAUAGCUCGUGGAAGUCAGAGUUUCUUCUCCGCACAGCAAUAUAAAACUUUUUAGUCAAAUAGACAGUUGACAUGAAGUUUGUCUUCACUUAGUAACCUAUCACCUUUGCUUAAUUUUACUGCAGUGUGUCUGUGUCUUAGCCACUAAGGGGACAGCUCACAUACUCAAGCAUCUCUCUGUUACAGUUUCUGGAUCUCUAACCUUCUAUAUAACUCACACUAUUACAGUUUAAACUAUUUUACCUAAUAGAAUUUCUUACUUACUGUCGUGGUUUUAAACCAGUAACUAAAAAAAUCACUUAUUUCUUGCUGUGAGAUAUGGAUUAGAACAAGAGCAAAACAGGCUUAAAACUUAAAAGGAAUAAACACAGUUUAUUAACAAACUACAAGAAUAAAAACACCAGAAUAAACUUCCAGAAAACCCUUUUACCUCUUACUACUUGACCAUUUUUUUGUACACAUGAUAACAUAGAGACAAAAAAACUUUAGAACUUUGGUGGUUAAAAACAGUCUCAAUUCUUGCUACAGUCUUUUCAUCAGUCUUUGCAGAGGAACAGAAGUCUCCUUCUGCCAAUCCAUGGAGUUUCUCACAAGAAAACUAUUUUUGUUAUAGUUUUCUAUUUCUCUAAUGCCAGCUGCCCGGAAAUCUGUCAUCAGAGUUCACGCCUCCCAUUUCACAUCACUCUGAGGUGUGUUAAUGGGUCAAUGAGUCUAGGGAUGCUAUUUUAAGGAUGAGUUAUUCAAAGGCAGAAGUCUUCUUCAUCUGUCUCUGUGAGCCUUCCUGGAAAACAGUUUUCUCUUUGCCCCCCAAGGCUUCAAAAUCUUCACUCUACUCAUUUCCAGCAACUCACAGUAUCACAAUUACUCUCUCUUUUUCUCAAAAGUCCACACUUUGAACACUCUAUUCCUCCCCAAUACUCUGUCAUGAAUUAAAGGAGUCUUUUUAAACUACUAUUGUCCAUCUCUAUAGCUUUAACAGAAAGAUAUUUCAGCUGUAAAGCACCUUAUUCUCUCUCAUUUAAACUUAACUCUUCACUGUUUUUGGUAGUUUUGUGAUGUCUUCUUCAUGUUGAUUGUCUCUCUCGUUCUGUCUUUCUGAGAAAAAGGAGUAAUCUGUACAUUUUAUCCAAGUAGUAAAAGAAUUAAAAGCUUUAGAAAAGCUACAAGAGUUCAUGGUGUCAGGUUUCAGUCCAGCAGCAGAAACUGAAAACCAAACCAGGCUGCCAGCUCUGCUUCCCUUUCCUCCCCCCGCCUUCCCUCUCGUCCUCUGCGGCCUUCUCUGGCCGAGGGAGGGGGGGGGAGAAUGGAGGAGGCUACCACAGAGCCUUGUUACCUUCUCAAAAGCCAGAAACAAAAGAGGGCAAGAGAACUCUGACUGUACUUCUUAAGGGGGUGUUUACAAGUUGACUUAACUUUUUAAUGGUCAAGACUGCUGUCAAUUCUUAGAAAUGACUGAUAAUUGGUCAGGAGGAAAAACUCCCAUCAGCCACCAGCAGCUUCAACUUCCUCAGCUCUCAAAGCUAUCUUAAAGGUAAAGCUACCCCAUGACACUUACUUAACACAUAUUCUUACUUAUAACUAUAGAGACAUAAAUUUAUAAUUUCUCUACCCAAUGUUUGUUUACCUUCAUCACUACAUCAAUCCAGGCUUUUUCUAAAGCUAAACCAAAGAUAUUCGGUUUCCAACAUCUCCCCUUUCCCUUUGCAGUAAAAAACUCCAUUAAUGGAUCUUCUGGAGUGAUAGUGGAUAAGCAUAUGAUAUUUAAACUUGAAAAAUUAGCUGAAAUCACACAAACAUUGGUUCUAGGCUCACUAACUAACAAAGCUACACUACUAAAGGCAAAGUAAAAAACAAACUUAACAUUUGAUUCAACUCCAUAUUUCUUUAAGAUUAUCUUUUGGCAAAAGGUUCUUUUUGAAUUUUUUUAUUUUUUAAAUUUUCAAGCAAAGUUUUCAGCAUAUUCUUUUUUUUUUUUUUUUCUUUCCAAACUUGUUCAUGGACUAACCAAGAUACAUAGUUAUUCUGUGCACAUUCAAUUUUUUAAAAUUUGGACAUCUUCUGAUUCUUUUGAAAAUUCCUUCUUAUAUUCUUCUUCAAGAAUAAGAAGGCAAGGGCUAAUACUACACUUUUGCCAAGAGCUUUACAAUAUUUCUGGUUUUUACACCCUUUACAUUGAUAUAAAACCUUGGGUUUUCACAGAUUUGCAAAUGGAACAAAAAUAAUGUCUAAUGUCCUCCAGGAAAAUGAAAAAAAUUACUAUUAUUUUAAGGUCCAAAUAGUUGAGACUCCAGAUGUGCUGUUUUAGCAGGUCCAAGUCUAUCAUCUGAAAAUGUUGAUCCUUAGCAUCACUGAAUGUUCUUUCAAAUCCUGAAACAGGGAAUAACUGAAGAAAAUUGGUAGAGACACAACAUUAUGAUAACAUAAAACUUCUGUUGGCAAACUGUGUAGUUUUCAGACAUAACUGUGUCUUGGUAGUUCUGGUCUUGUUUUGACAACAAAGGCUGUGUAGUGACUUCUCUGUUUACUGGUUCUCAUAUUUUCAGAGGCAGACAGUGUCUGGUCAGAUGAACAGGUGACUCUUUUGAACCUGUCAACAGAACAUAGGCACUUCUCCCAUUUAUGUUAAUGAAUCAUUUAGGCUUAACUGUAGUAAACUUAUUUGUGAAUUCAGAUUUUAUGAUCUUUUCUAAAUUUUUGGUGCAAUUAUUUCAUUAUUCAAAAUGAAUUGUGGUCUAAAUUUCUAAUGCACAUACUACAUUAAUUGAAUGUUCUUAAGGCAUCAAUUCCUUUUGCUUUUAAAAGUGAGAUGUACUUUUAUCAUGCAUAUGAAUAUCAACACAAAACUAUACACAUAAUGAACAAAAACUUACAGUAGUUAGAAAUUAAUUAGAUGAUAAACAUUAUUGAUAUGUGAUAUAGAAUUACUGUUAACUACUAAAACACUGUACCAGCAUCUCAGAGUUUGUAAACAGCUGACAAACCUCAAAUCAGUGAAGGAUUGGAUAACCACCUCCAGAAAUGAUUCUCCAAGCUCCCUUCAAAAUUGAUCCAGCUGUCAUAUUAAUAAGGUCAAAUUGCUAAGUCAAAAGUGACUCAAAUAUUGAUUUGGUACAGAAAACAUCUAUAUCUGUUGGCAAACAUUUCAUCCAGGUAAAGUCAAGGCUUGACCAGGCCUGGCUUUAAACUAGAAAGAUGUCUCUUAACUCAUUUUCAAAACAAGGUUCUUAAUUAUAGCAGCUAUGGGAUGCUUAAAGCACAGAAAACUGUUGAAGUGCAUUUGUGGAAAGCAAAUGAUCAGAAGUCUUAGGCAACAGACCAAUAGAACUAUCUAGCAGUUGGUUUAAUCUGAAGUUUCUCUCAUGGUGGCUGACUUUCAGCAAUGACACGUUUUUCUGGAAUUCUGGAAGCACUGAAAAACAAUAAAGCUACACUGAAUUAGGCAAGAGCAAGCCUUCUUAAACAAGGGGAGGAGUUACAAAGAGUAAGAAAAUCCUGUAGAGGAACAGCUGUAUAACUUGUUUAAAGAGAUGCAUCUGCAGUUAGAAAACAAAAAGAGCUCAAAUGACAUGUGUCUUAAAGGCAAUUACACAAAAAUAGUAAAGCAUAUGGAAAGCCGACUAUAAAUAUAGUAAUAAUACCUUGUGAAUAAUACUCAAAAUACUCAAGGAUAAUACAAAAUACUCAAGAUUUCAUAAAAUCUGUAAAUUCACAUUAUACAAUGAAUAUAUCAGCAGUAAGUGUCUGAGGAAGUUAAGAUAGCAUUUUCAAAAUAUUCAUGUCUCAAUGGCAAGAAGUGAAACAAGGUAAAAACUUUUAAACUUCUUACUAUUAAUAACAGUCACUAUUCUUUUGUGUUACCUAAAGAAAACAAAACCAGUAGAGAUUGUAACAAAUAAUUAAACCUUUGAUGAAAUGAAGGGUGCAACAGACUGUAUGUUCUUCCAUCCACAAACAGGUAUUUAUCAGUGUUCUAUCACAGUUUCAGUCAUAGUCAUCUCUCUAGGAAAAUAACUAUACUUCGUAGUUUAGACAAGUGUCUUAACAAAACGUGAGACAAUUUAAAUUAAACAAUAUUCAAACCUGGUAGAAAUUAAUUUUGACAGAAGGAAAUAAAAAAACUUAACCUCAAAAGAAUACUAAAGUUAUAAAACCUAACUUAAGAACACUCAGACCUAAACCUAGUGAAACUUAACUUUGCUAAAUUCUAUCAACACUUUAUCAAGUGAAAACAUAACUCAUUCUUAAUCUAUUAUUACAAAAAGGCAACGGAAAGUUUGGUAUAUACCUUUUAAACACAAUAUAAUAGCAACAUGAAUUUACAAUAGAGAUUAUAAAUAUGUGACAAAUACAUUAUGAUUUUAUCGAAUUUGGCCUUGAGAAUAACUCAUAGUAACUACAAAGGUUACUGAAAAUACUUAUUUGUAGCAGGGAUUUGCUUGGAAUAUGCUUAAGUUUGUUAGGAUUUUUAAAGUGCAGUUUUAUUAGAGAAAAAUCACAACAACACAGGAUUUGGCAAGUUGCCAUUCAGCUUUUGUAGCACUUUUCAGAAACAUCAAGUCUGCUUUUUAAUUAAAUUCCGAAGUCCGAAUUGGUAUAUAUGCUGUUAUACGUGUCUUUUAUAGCAAAAAGACUCACAUUACCUUAUUAAAAUUGUGGAAAACACAAGCAUAUGGGUAAUAUAUGGUUAACUUAACUUUGUCUUGUGCAGUGAAGUUCUCAUAGCUAAUUAUUUUUUAAACCGUGAAUAUCUUCUGUAGAUAACAUUAAUUGGCAGGUCAUGUUAUUAGUAGCUGUAAAUCAUUCAAUAUUUUGACAUUAGGUUUUAAAACUAAUUAUUGCAAGGUAACUUUUUCCAUCUGUUAAUAUUUACUCUAAACAUUUUUAAAGAGAGGUUUUUUGAAUUUUCUAAAGAGUCACAAUAAUUUCUCCAGCAAAACUCUAAAACUGCAAGAACUCAUAAUUACUUAAAAACCACAAAAUUAAUUCUGAAAGGGUAUAUAAAGACAUUCUAAGAAAACAACAAAUUGUUACUGUUUAACCAACUGGGUAGUGUCCUAGUGCUUCUUCUGGGGGGUGGUGUGUGUGUGUGUGUGUGUGUGAACGACAUCCUCCAUAUACACUUGCAGAGGGGAAAACUGGAGACAAAAAAAACCUAUAAAGUUAACUUUAACAAAUGCAGUUCUUUCCCUCAAUAUUUAUCUCAUUCUUUGCAGACAGAGGGAAAAGGACACGAUUUUACAAAAACGGGUGAUGUUAAGCAAAGAGCUUCUCAGGGCCAGGUGAUAGCAACGGUGACCAUUGGAACUUAUCAACUUUUAAUUACAGUAAUGAAUUUUGAACUAGAUACCAUAUAGUUAGCAAUUUUUUGACUAUUUUGUCUCCCUUUGAAGCUGUCUGAGCCACCUGUUUCUGCUCAACUGUUUCUGUAAUUGCUGAUAUUUGUCCUGUGUGGCCUUGGAGCUUCUUCUGCAAUGCCUCUGCCAUGGGGGUGCCUUUGUUCUCUGCGCACCCUCCAGUGCUCCUCCCACGCCCCGCCUGGAUCGGGUGGAAACCGAUCUAAAUCUGGCUUCUCUUCAAAAGUAGAGUUAAUAUGUUGACCCUGUAGGUCCACAGUCAAUUAAAAAACAUUGAACACCUCCUUAUAUACUUCUCUCUGACUCUCUCCCCCUCUCUCCAAGGGCGUCAUUGCCAAGAAUGUUCGCCUAGCAGUGGGAGGUAGAGAUGGCUGCUGCUGUGACACAGUUUUCCCCAGCUUAGGUUCACAAUUCCGCGUCCAACCACUGCACGAAUCUGCUCCCUCAGCCCUGAUCCGCAUUCCACGUCCAAACACUGCACAAAUCUGCCGAGCUGGUACCCUUUGCCCGCAAAGGAUCCCUGUUCUGAGUGCCAGGAGAGCUUCAAGGACACUGCCCUUAGAAUUGUUGCCUGGAUUGAAAGCUGGGUUGUGCAGACAGGCUUUUACUAAAAUAUCAUGCUUUUGUCCCGUUAAAACGUUUUUGUGCACAGCGCCAAGGCAACAGACUCUGCCUACAGCUCUGACCUCGUGCCCAUGGCAACCACCCCUGGCAGUGGGGCUCUAUGGAGCUACUCUCAGGAACCUCCCAAAAGUUUGGGAGUGCCCCAAACCUGCCUCAUAAACCUGAGUAACCCGAAAAUCUCCUUAAGAACGUGGAAUAUCCAAAAACUCACUCAGUAAAAAACUCCUCCUCCCUUCAUCAGCCUUGAACCUUGGCUGUCUCAUUCCAGACCCCAUCCCACAUCCCAAAUCCCAACCACAACCUAUCCCACUCCUGCUCCUCCCAUCCCACAUCAAGACUCCCUUCCCAAGCCCUAUUUCCCCCAUUUCACACUUCCCAAUCCCCAUCCCACCCAUCCUGCCUCACCCAGUGCCCAUCUCACCCCUCCUGA